UACGUAGGGUCCGAGCGUUGUCCGGAAUUAUUGGGCGUAAAGGGCUCGUAGGCGGUUUGUCGCGUCGGGAGUGAAAACACGGGGCUUAACCCCGUGCCUGCUUCCGAUACGGGCAGGCUAGAGUUCGGUAGGGGAGACUGGAAUUCCUGGUGUAGCGGUGAAAUGCGCAGAUAUCAGGAGGAACACCGAUGGCGAAGGCAGGUCUCUGGGCCGAUACUGACGCUGAGGAGCGAAAGCGUGGGGAGCGAACAGG
rnacentral:rRNA from 1 species